rnacentral:lncRNA from 1 species
UACAGUAGAAAAUUGACAGAACACUGUAAACCAGUUAUAACAGAAAAAAAUAAAAGUCAUUAAAAUAUAUUUUUUAAAAAGUGGGAAUAUUUAUAUCAUAGAAAUCAGAAAAUGCUACCCAAAAAAAGGAAUUGAUAUUGUUCUUUUCAUUGUCUAGAUUUAAGAAAGCAAUGUAGGAAUUCCCAUCACGGCUCGGUGGUUAAUGAAUCCGACUAGGAACCUUGUCCGACGUUGCUGUGAGCUGUGGUGUAGGUUGCAGAUGCGGCUUGGAUCCCGCAUUGCCAUAGGCUGGCAGCUAUAGCUCUGAUUCGACCCCUAGCCUGGGAACCUCCAUAUGCCUCGGGUGCGGCCCUAGAAAGACAAAAAAUAAAUAAAUAAACAUAGGAAAAAAAAAGAGAAAGUGAUGUAGAAGAUAUUAAUACAAAUUAAACUUGAAAGUGUGUUAUGUCUGUAACAGAUUGUGAAUGAUACAAAAAAAAUUAAAGAUAUAGUUAUCCAGUAUUUGAAAACUACUGCUUCAUUCAGCAAAGAAAUCAGUCAUUGGCAAAAAAGUAAAGUUCUGACAUUCCUCUUUCUUUUUUCACACUCAUCUUAAUUUUUUUUUCUUUUUUUUAAUGCCCGCACCUGUGGCAUAUGUAAGUUCCUAAGCUAGGGGUCAAAUAAGAGCUGCAGCUGAGGUUUACACCACAGCCACAGCAAUGACAGAUCUGAGCCACAUCUGUGACCCGCACCACUGCUUAUGGCAAUACUGGAUCCUUAACCCACUGAGGAAGGCCAGGGAUUGAACCUGCAUCCUUGCAGAGAUAGCAUCUGGUUCUUAACCUGCUGAGCCACAACACGAACUCCUUAAUCUUUUUUUUUUUUUUUAGCUGUACCCACAGCAUGCUGAAGUUCUGGGCUGGGAUCAAACCUGCCCCACAUAGUGACAAUGCUGGAUCCUUAACCCACUGAGCCACCAGGGAACUCCUUAUCUUAAUCUUUCACUAGAAUGAAAACACCAACCAAAAUUCAAGUGGAACCACAAUCAUUUGUGCAACCAUAAGUUGGCCAUAGAUACAGAAAUCCACAAAAUCUAUGAAAUCAUUCUGUGACGAGAGAGACAAAUACUAUGAUAUCAUUUAUAUCUGGAAUCUAAUAUAUGGCACAAAUGAACCUUUCCACAGAAAAAAAAAUCAUGGACCUGAAGAACAGACUUGUGGUUGCCAAGGGGGAGGGGGAGGGAGUGGAAUGGACUGGCAAUUUGAGGUUAAUAGAUGCAAACUAUUGCCUUUGGAAUGGAUAAGCCGUGAGAUCCUGCUGUGUAGCACUGGGAACUAUAUCCAGUCACUUGUGGUGGAGCAUGAUAAUGUGAGAAAAAGGAAUGCAUAUGUGUAUGUGUGACUGGGUCACGUUGCUGAACAGUAGAAAAUUGACAGAACACUAUAAACCGCUAUAAUGGAAAAAAUAAAAAUCAAAUAAAAUCAUUCUGUGAAAAUCAACCUGCUAUAAUGACUUUACACUAAAGAAUAUAUUAUUAUUAUUUAUAAAUUGCAUGCUAUAUAUUCCUUGUCUUAAUAAAACAACACACACAUAAACAUACCUUUUUGUUGUUGUUGUUGUUUUUUGAGAGCUAGUUCUUAAACAAUUACUAAUAUAUUACUCUCUGUAACUUUCCUUAUACUCUAAAUUCCAUGAUGGAGGUAGCUGUUUCUGUUUGAUUCCCCAGAUGUUGCAAGACCUGCUAGGUCCUCCAUAAACAUUUACAGAAUGAAUGAAUGAAAGCUCAGGAAACUUGCCUUAUUCGUUUUUAUAUCUGAGAACUAGGACAGUGCCUGACACAGAUUAAGUGCUGAAAAAAAAAAUGUUUGCUGACCUGAACUGAACUUGAGUCAUAGUCUCCUAAUUCUGAAAACAGGCGAUCAAACACAUCAAGGAAAGGAGUGGAGGUGGAUUAUUUUUUCAGACACACGGCUCGUUUUCAUGGUUGCUUUGUAAGUUAAAAUCACUGGCUGCAGGAAGUCCAGGGUGAAAGCCAGCUCUCCUGAUUCCUGAAACAGUGCCCUAUUCAUUAGGAUCCUUAUUUCUCAAGGGCGCCCGUAUUUUCCGACACUAAUGUUGGAAAGGAGAGCUGGUUACUUGCUUUGUGGCUACAAGAUUUUCACUCAAGAUAAGUGACAAUAAACAGAGUCAGGAGGAAUCAGAUGGUGAUGUCUAGCAUUUACGGAGCACACACUGUGCUCAUUAUAAGACUAUGCUUUAAAUUCAGUAGCUUGGCGUCUGUCAAAAAUACUGUAAAGUAGAAAUUAUCCUUACAUUACAGAUGAAGGCGCUGAGGCUCAGGGAGGUUUGCAAAGUUACCUAAAGCUCCCAGCUGCGGAGUAGCCAUACUGGGAUUCAAAAUAGUUUUGUCUUAAGACAAAUGCCAGGGUAUUUUAAUUGGACAAUAUUUCUUAGACAUCAGCUGUUCAUAUACCAUGGUUCCUGAAACACUUUCAAGAUGUGUGUGCCAAUCUCAGCUACUUCAUAUUUCCCUUGGACCUUUUUUUGUUAUUAGUUAGCCUAGUCUGAAACAAUAAUAUCCAUGAAAUGAUGGGUUAAAAUGUUGCUAUACGUUUCUAAUACACACUAAAAUGAAUACAAAAUUAUGAAAAUAGAAAAUGUGACUUCUUACCACCUAAAACGACCUUUUGGGUACUAUCACAGAUACAUAAACGUCCCCGAGGCAGACAUUGGUUUUUGUAAUGCUGCAGAUUUAACUUUUACUGGGAGCAAGGGUGCUGGUCCUAUUUUUUGCUUUGUCUUCCGUUUCUAUCUUGAAAUAAAAGGAAAUCAUUCAAUCUGUUUUCCUGGUAUGGGGGGGGAGGGGACCUGACUCAUGCUUGCUGAGCAAAUUCCCAUCACACAAAACAAGGAGCUUUACAAAACCUUCUUCCAAGGGUCACUGAAAUCUUCCAAGUGACGGAAUUGGAAUUAAACUUGGCAAAGAUUACGAAAUGCCACCAGUGUUAGACAAUUGAAGGUUUCUGUGGCAAGAAGAGAAUUUAAGGAAAAUAAAACCAAAUCGUUGGAAAGCACCUACAGUGAGAGUCAUGAAGGAUUCAAAAAACCUAAGAAAAGCUUCCUGGCAUUUGCGCUGCCCCAGCUGGAGUUGAUAGAACUGUUGCUAUUCUUUCCUCUGAGUAUGUUGGAGGAGGAAGUAGUUGGAUUGUCUUUCUUGGCUUUUGAGUGGGAGGAAUAACACGGUAUUAUUAGAGAUAAUAGCAAAAGAAAAAAGAGAAAGAAAUGUUUUUGAACUGCUGAAAAACUGAAUUCAUUAUCUCUGUGGAAGAACCCAGAUUUGGUUACAUAAACAGUGUGGAGUGUUGUCCAAUCCAUUUCAAUGGAAAAAAAUGAAAAGAGCAUCAGAAACCAGAACAGUCAAGACUACGGUGGGAAACAAUACAGAACAUUUUUUGAACGCUUAUGAAAUAUAAAUGUAUAUAUUUGGUUCUAUUUUAAUCUGUCUCUUUUAUAGUGGUUUCUGCCACACAUUCAAUCCUCUCCUUCCCUCACACAUAUUUGGGUUCUAUACCUUAUUCGCUAACUGAGCCAAGGCCCAAGGUCACGGCAUGAAGGUUUCACCAAUAUCCAGACUUUAAGUCUAUGAGAAUUUGCAAAUCUUAGGACUGUUCCUCCUUAGUCUCUUCAAAAGAAAAGUCUCCUGUAGCAUCUGGAGCUGGAGGAGGACUGUUUUUCUUGAGGAAAUGGAAUCUUUCACAGUAUGGAGAACUCCAAGACUGAGCAUGUGUUUUCAUCUCGCCCCAGUAGGCUGUGUGGCUAGCAACCUAAAUGACAAAUUGAAUUCCGGUUGCUGUAGAAUCAUCACCAAAGAAGGAGAACUUGUUUUUCCUCCCUUUCUGGGCUGAAUGUGGGGUGGGAGAUGGGAAAGGAGCCAGGACUUGGUGUUCUGUUUGGUAGGAUCUAGGCUCCCUUCACCUAGUUAAGAGAACGGUCUUUGUUUUUGAAAUCUAGGUCCUUGAAGGCUUGUUCUUAGAUUGGCCCAACGAGCGAGAGUUGGGGGAGAGUUUCCAGUAUUAAGAGAGAAGGGGUUGGAGCAGAGACGACUUACCUAGAGUAGGCAGAGCUAUAGUGCUUGGUCCUCUAGCUGUGGCCUGGAAGUCACAUGAAUUUGCACUAUGUUUCCUGAUAGUGGCCUGGAAGUCACAAGAAUUUUGAUGGCAUGGCUCUGUGUGUACCACUAACGUGUAAAAAUCCCUCUGUAGUGAAGGUUCCAGUUGCCAAAUUUGGCAUAGAGAGAGUAGAUACUAUUUUCAGCAGAGGUAGACACCUUAGAAUAGUGGAUAGAUAGAUGGAUGGAUGGAUGGAUAGAUAGAUAGAUAGAUAGGUUUAGACAAUGUGCAUUUCAGCAGUAAACUGAUGGAUUGCAAAUACUCUGUAGACAUCUUCUGCACAUCCGUUUCCCUGAAUUAAGUAAGCCUUAGGGUACUUUCUGAAGCAUGAGACAGGGCCCUCUAAAAAUAACUUUUAAUUACCAACCCCAGAUAGGUGAGAGCCCAAAGGAUUUCAUAUGAGAAAAAUGAAUGAAAUAUGGUAUUUCCUAUACCUUAGUAUUAUUGGUUAUGUAUUGCUAUAUAGCAAUAUUAUCCCAAACUGAGUGACAUUAAAUAUCACUGAUUUAUUAAAGACUGAAAACAUUAUUCAUGCAUUAUAGUUUCUCUGGGUCGUGAACCUGGACAUGGUUUGUCAUGAAUGGGAUGAGAGACCUUGCAGAAGAUACUAAGGAAUGGAGUUCCCGUUGUGACACAGGGGAAACAAAUCCGACUAGAAACCAUGAGGUUAUGGGUUCAUUCCCUGGCCUCGAUCAGUGGGUUAAGGAUCCAGCAUUGCCAUGAGCUGUGGUGUAGGUCACAGACAAGGCUCAGAUCCCACAUUGCCGUGGCUGUAGCAUAGGCUCACAGCUGUAGCUCCUAUCCAACUCCUAGCCUGGGAACCUCCGUAUGCCAUGG